AUAUCUCUCCGUACGGGAAGGAUGAGAAGCUUCGACUAAGGUUCGAUUCGAGCGCAGCGAGAAAGCGUUGCCGCAGGCAACGACCAGCCAGCUUUCAAGCUGCUGGUUAACCUGCUCGCUGACCA
rnacentral:sRNA from 1 species